CCGGCCACGGGUGAGUAACACGUAUCCAACCUGCCGUCUACUCUUGGACAGCCUUCUGAAAGGAAGAUUAAUACAAGAUGGCAUCAUGAGUUCACAUGUUCACAUGAUUAAAGGUAUUCCGGUAGACGAUGGGGAUGCGUUCCAUUAGAUAGUAGGCGGGGUAACGGCCCACCUAGUCUUCGAUGGAUAGGGGUUCUGAGAGGAAGGUCCCCCACAUUGGAACUGAGACACGGUCCAA
rnacentral:rRNA from 1 species